UCAACUUGAAGAACCUUACCUGGCCUGACAUGUGUGGAAUCCUGCAGAGAUGCGGGAGUCCCUUCGGGAAUCAGAACACAGAUGGCGCAUGGUUGUCGUCAGCUAGAGUGAUGAGAUGUUGGGUUAAGUCCUGCAACGAGCGCAACCCCGGUCCUUUGUUGCCAGCGUCGUAAUGGUGGGAAGUCAAGGGAGACUGCCGGUGAUAAACCGGAGGAAGGUGGGGAGGACGUCGAGUCCUCGUGGCCGUAACGGCCAGGUGUACACACCAGGUGCAGUGGCUCGUACAGAUGCAUGCAAGAUAGCGAUAGUGAGCUGUGACACCCGGGCGGAGAGAGGG
rnacentral:rRNA from 1 species